AUUUUUCAUGUGGUUCCCUGCAGGCAUUUUCAGUGACAAUGAGCAUGACCUUCUGGAGUCAUCCCAGAACCCAGAACAAAGACUGGCUUGUUGUCAGCCUCUGACUGACCUCCGGGUGCAGUGAGGGACAUAUUGGACCUCUCUCUACAUCAUAUUUACCAGCUACAUGUGGGUCAUAACAAUGCCUCUUUCUAUUAAAUCAUUGAAUUAUCCUCCUGGUACCAACAGAAGUGGUACCCUGGAAAAGUCUGUCUUUCAUCCCUCAGCUCCAUCUCCUCCUGUACAACAUGAGAAUGCAUUUCCCUCCCUGUGGGUCUGUGCACACGCAAGCAUGCGAAGGUGUGUGUGGAGGUCAGAGGACAACGUUGUUACCGGCUCAGAGAUCUCAGCCCAGACCUUCCUCUCUCCCCUGCCACUUGGUCCUGAGGCUUGGAAACUACUUCUUGUAAUAGCAAUUGCGACUACAAAGGUCUCCCUUCCCUGACAGAGCAGCGGGAGGUUCAGUCAACCUGGUGACUUCAGGGUCUUUCCUGUUCCCCGUGUCCCCCAUCCUUUCCCCCAAAGGGCUUGCAAACCUUGUACCUUGCACACUCAUGGUGUUCUCUCCCUGGACUUUUCCUGCCCUAAGGUGCAGGACUACUUUCUCCCUCCCUCCCUCCCUCUCUCUCUCUUUCUCUCUCUCUCUCUCACUAUUUUCUCACUCUGUUGUCCCCCUCAGGGUUCAGAUUCCCACUUCCACCCUCCAGCUCCACGUUCCCCACUCCCAUCCUCUGCCUGGGUUUGUCAGAUUUUCCAUCUACCUGUCUCUCUUGCUUUGCCACCAAGUUAGGUCCCAUCUCCUUCCCUUGCACGCCCAUUCCAGGACAGGCCAUACUCUGGCUGGCAUUAAGCUCAACGUUCCCUGCCCCUGGAUUCCCAGGUCCAGAGUUUUGUCACUUCCAUUCUGAACCACGCAGCUCUCCUGCAGAUGUGAAAAAAACUUCCUUUGCCCAGGAAAGCUACCAUCUCAGCCCUUAAUUUCCAAAC